rnacentral:misc_RNA from 1 species
UAAAGGAAGGCAACCACAUCUUACAGAGUAGCUACUCAAUGAGCACAGGAGUUAGCUGACCUAUGCACAAACUUAACUAAACAAAGAGGAUUAGCACUAAUGCUCUGAAAAUCAUGAACAAUAGCUUCUAACUCCCAUGGAAAGAGACCAGAAGAAGCAGCCAACAUCAAAGAGAGUUGGAGCGAAUCAGUUUCAAAACUAACACGGGCAAAACCACGACUUCUAGCAAACGUCACUGCAGCUUGAAAACCAAAACCAUCAGCAGCCAAACAUCACGACUUCUAGCAAACAUCGCUGUUUGAUUUUUCACUUUGGCAGGCAAUAACAUGAAUAUAAUUAGAAAAAGAUGAGAUGAGAAGUGGUGAAGUCCAGCAGUAUAUGGUUUGUCCUAA